AUACGGAGGGUCCGAGCGUUAUCCGGAAUCAUUGGGUUUAAAGGGUCCGUAGGCGGGAAUCUAAGUCAGUGGUGAAAUCUUGCAGCUCAACUGUAAAAUUGCCAUUGAUACUGGAUUUCUUGAAUUAGUGUGAAGUGGUUAGAAUGUGUAGCGUAGCGGUGAAAUGCAUAGAUAUUACACAGAAUACCAAUUGCGAAGGCAGAUCACUAACACUAUAUUGACGCUGAGGGACGAAAGCGUGGGGAGCGAACAGGAUUAGAAACCCCGGUAGUCC
rnacentral:rRNA from 1 species